GACGAACGCUGGCGGCGUGCUUAACACAUGCAAGUCGAACGGUAAGGCUCCAGCUUGCUGGGGUACACGAGUGGCGAACGGGUGAGUAACACGUGGGUGACCUGCCCUGCACUUCGGGAUAAGCCUGGGAAACUGGGUCUAAUACCGGAUAGGACCGCACCGUGAGGGUGUGGUGGAAAGUUUUUUCGGUGUGGGAUGGGCCCGCGGCCUAUCAGCUUGUUGGUGGGGUAAUGGCCUACCAAGGCGGCGACGGGUAGCCGGCCUGAGAGGGUGGACGGCCACAUUGGGACUGAGACACGGCCCAGACUCCUACGGGAGGCAGCAGUGGGGAAUAUUGCACAAUGGGCGGAAGCCUGAUGCAGCGACGCCGCGUGGGGGAUGACGGCCUUCGGGUUGUAAACUCCUGUCACCAUCGACGAAGGGUUUCUGACGGUAGAUGGAGAAGAAGCACCGGCUAACUACGUGCCAGCAGCCGCGGUAAUACGUAGGGUGCGAGCGUUGUCCGGAAUUACUGGGCGUAAAGAGCUCGUAGGUGGUUUGUCGCGUCGUCUGUGAAAUUCCGGGGCUUAACUCCGGGCGUGCAGGCGAUACGGGCAUAACUUGAGUACUGUAGGGGAGACUGGAAUUCCUGGUGUAGCGGUGAAAUGCGCAGAUAUCAGGAGGAACACCGGUGGCGAAGGCGGGUCUCUGGGCAGUAACUGACGCUGAGGAGCGAAAGCAUGGGGAGCGAACAGGAUUAGAUACCCUGGUAGUCCAUGCCGUAAACGGUGGGCGCUAGGUGUGGGUUUCCUUCCACGGGAUCCGUGCCGUAGCUAACGCAUUAAGCGCCCCGCCUGGGGAGUACGGCCGCAAGGCUAAAACUCAAAGGAAUUGACGGGGGCCCGCACAAGCGGCGGAGCAUGUGGAUUAAUUCGAUGCAACGCGAAGAACCUUACCUGGGCUUGACAUAUACAGGAUCGCGCCAGAGAUGGUGUUUCCCUUGUGGCUUGUAUACAGGUGGUGCAUGGUUGUCGUCAGCUCGUGUCGUGAGAUGUUGGGUUAAGUCCCGCAACGAGCGCAACCCUUGUCUUAUGUUGCCAGCACGUUGUGGUGGGGACUCGUAAGAAACUGCCGGGGUUAACUCGGAGGAAGGUGGGGAUGACGUCAAAUCAUCAUGCCCCUUAUGUCCAGGGCUUCACACAUGCUACAAUGGUCGGUACAGUGGGUUGCCAGUCCGUGAGGGCGAGCUAAUCCCGCAAAGCCGGUCUCAGUUCGGAUCGGGGUCUGCAACUCGACCCCGUGAAGUCGGAGUCGCUAGUAAUCGCAGAUCAGCAACGCUGCGGUGAAUACGUUCCCGGGCCU
rnacentral:rRNA from 1 species